CAGUAUUUUAAUGUAUUUUCAACAGUUUUUUACUGCAUAAGCUUUGUACAGUAGGCUACUUUAGUUUUCCAAUGCAUUAUGGGAAAUAUUACUCUGAAUACAGUAUUACCAACCAACUGCAAAACACAAUUACAAACGUCUAUUUAUAUCUUAAAUGCUUAAUUUUUUGUGAGAUAUUUGGUUUAAUGUCUGUUUUCACAUCAGAUGCUCGGUGUGUUCCUUUAACAUAAAUCAGGUGCCUUUUCUGAGGCUUUAAUGAAAUCACCAGCCAAUUCAAUAGACAUACCAUCAGUUCUUAAUAUUGUUGCCUCUGGGUCACAAAAUGUAUUUUUAAGAUUAGUUUAGGCGAUAAUAUAUAUAUGUAUAAUCUUCAAAUAGCAGUCGAUUAGUUAAAAAAGCGCUAAUUUUAGAAUUUGAUUAAACAAAUGCGGAGGGUUCAGGCGCGAGUCGGUCACGUGAUGUGCUCCUCAGUUCUGUCAGUAGGGGGAGUGGGAGAACGCGUGUGUGUCGUCGUAUCUGUUCUGCUCAUCUAGCGCGUAUUUCUUUAUUAAUAUCUGCUGGGUGAAUAUUAAUACGUAUAUGCUAACAUUAAUUUUGUGACCACAAAAUGACAGAGAGCUAUUAUACGAGAUAUUGUGUCGUCGUGUUUGUCUUCACUCACUUCAUCUGCAAACAACUUCUGCAACUACACAAUGAUUGUCUGCGUGUGUGCAAAAUAAAGCACGUUCACUGUGUAAAACCCCGCGCGGGCAUUUUCAAAUUAACGGUCAGGGGGAGUCUGAGCUGAUAGUGUUGUGUUGACAAGAGACUUUGCUGAGUGUAUGUAAAUCUGGGCUACAGUCCACGACAAAUUUUCUACGGUAGUUUUACGCCUGCACGCUGGUCAUCUCGUCUAUCGCGGGAUAUCAUCAUCACUACAGCGGCCAUCGCAUUGAAGAGAUCCUGUGCUUGUUGCGUGGCGGUGUGUUCACUUGGAUUGAGACCAGCAGUGCUUUUUUAAACAGUGGAUUCUUUAUGACAUCAAGAUGUGGUUUGGGAAGGACCUUCAUCUAAAUCUGAAGACAGGACAUACUGGCUCAAAAAGGUGUUUCUGAUAUGGAGAAAAACCCUGCACUGCUCAUUUUAUUUCUUCAUCUUGAGAAUACAGCAAGUUUACCUUUUGUCUGGAAAAUGAUUCAGCAAAGCUAACACCAACAACAAUUUUUCAUGGCACUUUAAACCUCCUUGAUGUGAGGAGCCAGCAUCAGAAUGGAUGGUGUCAAUAUCCUGAAUGAAGAAGUGGAGGUAACAGAGGUGGAUCUCAAGACUUGGCCAUGUUCUAGAUUAUAACUGGAUUAUCACAAGUGCUGUCGCCCCUGCUGUAUAUGACGCCCCCACCACCUACACCAGGUGUAGGAAAUGUCGGUCCUGGAGUGCCGUUGUCCUGCAGAGUUUUGCUCCAGCUCUAAACAAACACACCUGAACAACUAGAUCUGAAGAGUCACCAGAAAACUACAGGUAGGCGAGGUUUUAUCAGGGUUGAAAUAAAAUCUGCAGGAUUUCGGCACUCCAGGACCGACGUUGCCUACUCCUGACCUACACCUUCAUCCUGCCACCACCACCCAUACUACCUACAAAAAACUGUAUUGUAAUUAUGCUUUUCACUGUAUUGUAUGAUGUGGUUUUCUCAUUUAGGGUAACUACACUAUGGCAACCAUUUGAUACAUUGAUUGCUGACUGAUUUUGUUAUUUUUUUUUUACUUUUUGUUUAAAAUCUAAUCAAUUUUUUGGUUUUUUUUGUUAAUAUUGUUACAAAUAUACAGUUAAA